rnacentral:lncRNA from 1 species
GUAUAAACCUUUGAAUCCUCAUCUUCAUGUAUUUGGGGCUUAAAGAAAUUAGAAUUCAACAGCUCACUGUAUGCCCCUAAAAUCUGAGUCGCUCCUUGUGGUGCAGGGAUGUUUAGAGAGUGCAAGCAUGGGCUUUGAAAUCAAAGGUAGGGCCUGGGUAAACCAGUGAAGGAAGUGUGCCAUGGGGUAGGGCUGUUUAUGUUGGUUGGAAAGUGGGGCAUUUUUCCCUGAGGCAGGCUUUCUGCAGAGGAAAAUCUGGAUUGGAGAGAGAGAUUAAAAAUCUCAAAGGUAAAAGGAAAGAUGUAAGGAAAUGGCCUGCACUGAAUCACUGCAAAGGACAGUAUUCAUCAGAGAAUUAAUUUGGAAGGAAAUAGAGUGUGAAAUAGCAGCAAGGCUUUCAACUCUGGGCACCAUGGCCUUAGAAACCCAGUCGGUGUUUCAGAGGCUUGCCAAGGCCGAGCCUGGGAGCUCCCUCCAGAAGAGCAGCCGGGGGAUGCCCAGAGACCACAAAUGGCUGAGCUCGGAGGAACUGAUUGAGUGUGUAAUUAAGGGGAGGGUUGUAUAACACUUGGGUAAGUAGAACUUGAUGGGGUCAAACCAGCAGGGCUUCUGGGAGAUGAGAGAGCAGUCCCUGGAGCCGUUAGUAAUGGAAGCCAGAUGCAUAACGUUAGACACAGCUUACCUGAGCUUUGUGGGGAGAAGAAUGGAAGAGAUCAGGAAGGGGAAGGGUUGAAAGAGUGACUGCUCUGUAGAUGUAAGUGUCCACAGAUGCUUAAUACUUUAGUGCGAGGA